GAUGAAGAACGCAGCGAAAUGCGAUAAGUAAUGUGAAUUGCAGAAUUCAGUAAAUCAUCGAAUCUUUGAACGCACCUUGCGCCCUUUGGCCAUUCCGAAGGGCAUGCCUGUUUGAGUAUCAUGAACACCUCAACUCUUCAUGGUUUUCCAUGAUGAGCUUGGACUUUGGGGGUCUUGCUGGCCUACGGUCGGCUCCUCUAAAAUAAAUCAGCUUGCCAGUGUUUGGUGGGUAUCGCAGGUGUGAUAACUAUCUACGCUUGUGGUUUUCCACCAAGUAACCUUCAGCAGUGGAGGUUCACUGGAGCUCACAGAUGUGUCUCUCCUCAGUGAGGGACAGCUCUUUGAAUGUUUGAUCUCAAAUCAGGUAGGACUACCCGCUGAACUUAAGCAUAUCAAUAAGCGGAGGA
rnacentral:misc_RNA from 1 species